rnacentral:lncRNA from 1 species
GAUUUGGUUGUGUUUACAAUUUGUUUGUGUUAGAGAAUGGUUGAACAAGGAAUGGAAGGAAGUCAACCAGUUGACUUUAUGAAGCAUCCUCCAGGGAUAAAGGACAACAACAGUCCCUUUGUAUUUGGUGAUAUAUGCAAAUACUGUAUCAUGAUGAAGGAUACAUGAGAAUCUGAGUUGUUUUGCUUUCUGAGAAAACCCAAUUUAUAUUUGUCCCUAGAAUGUUUUUGAAAGAAACA